rnacentral:rRNA from 1 species
GACGAACGCUGGCGGCGUGCCUAACACAUGCAAGUCGAACGGACGAAGGAGCUUCGGCUCCCUAGUUAGUGGCGAACGGGUGAGUAACGCGUGAGCAACCUGCCUUUCAGAGGGGGACAACAGCUGGAAACGGCUGCUAAUACCGCAUAACAUGAUUUAGCCGCAUGACUGGAUCAUCAAAGAUUUAUCGCUGAAAGAUGGGCUCGCGUCUGAUUAGCUAGUUGGUGGGGUAAAGGCCCACCAAGGCGACGAUCAGUAGCCGGACUGAGAGGUUGAACGGCCACAUUGGGACUGAGAUACGGCCCAGACUCCUACGGGAGGCAGCAGUGGGGAAUAUUGGGCAAUGGGGGCAACCCUGACCCAGCAACGCCGCGUGAAGGAAGAAGGCUUUCGGGUUGUAAACUUCUUUUACCAGGGACGAAGGACGUGACGGUACCUGGAGAAAAAGCCACGGCU